GUGAACGAUGUGCCUGUGUCUCCUGAACAGGAUUCAGAGGUAGUCCUAAGGAAACUGGGAGAACAGUGCAGCCCUGCUACCCUAAGAAACAAUAGACUGGCACAAAACGUUAUGCCCUGGCCACAGCCCUGCCUGGGCAGGUCAGGCCCCUGCAUGUAACGAAGAGAAACGAGAGCUAAAAGUGAGACCACAGAGCUCCCCUGUAAGGCCCAGCCUCUCUCACUUCCUCAGCAGGGAAAUUACUGGAAGCUGAACAGCAGUAAAAGGCAAAAAGGACCUAACCUUUUCAGCCUGACAUUACCACUGACUGUGGCCCUGUGAUUACACCAGCAGCAAAAUGUCAUGCUGUGACUAACACGACAAAGGCCAUGUUAUAGUCCGAGAGGCUAAAUUAAAGGAGCCUGAAUUUUGGUUGGUGAAUCUCAAAGAACGGUCCUUAAACGUUCAUUCAGAUCCCCAGGGUAAGGACAAAGCCAGUCAGCAUUAUUCGCCAUCAACAAGACUCUUCUGAUACACACAAGGAACACGUUUGUGCAUCUCUCCAGAGAUCAGCAUCAGCUAUCCCACACACAAAGGCAGACAGGGCUGCCUCCACAAAGAAGCAGAGCAGCUGCUGGAUGAAGACUUCUGCGAUGCUCUCCUGACAGAUCCGCAUCGAACCGCCUUUGAGCCUCAUUCUCAUACCACGCAAAAAGCAACAGCUCGUUGUGCCUUCAUUUUCUCUCCCACGAUCACAGCAAUGCAGCAUCCUUCUCUUCAUUACCUCCUGUGGCAGUUGUGUUGAGAGAAGGCACAAGGACAGUAAGCGUAAUACAUUAUCCAAAUGGCAAGUGGCUUUCACAGCCACAGAGAGCUGCUGCUGCUUCCUGAGAUGCCAUUACUUUCCAGCGUUUUUCCAGUGCUCUCCACUCCAAUUCACACUCAAAACCAGAGGUGUUGAGAGGGAGCACAGCACUGAGCGGUCUCUCCGGCCCUGCGGACACUCGUGCUGUGGGCUGAGCCUGCACAGGAAGGGUGAGCAGUGGCAGCACGUUGAGCAGGCAGGUCGAAGCGAGAAAGAAGCAAACAGUGGCAUAAGGUGAGAACAAACACACACUUCUAAAGCUGGACUCGGUGCCAGGGGCCUCAGGAAGUUAUACCCUCAUUUUCCUCAGCUGUGAUAGGGGGACACUGCUAUCUGCCUGUUAUGUGGCAGGAUGAGGACAAACAUUAAAUAUUAUGAGACACUCUGCAGAUAAA
rnacentral:lncRNA from 1 species